UACGGAGGGUGCGAGCGUUAAUCGGAAUUACUGGGCGUAAGGGGUGCGUAGGUGGUUGUAUAAGUUAUCUGUGAAAUUCCUGGGCUUAACCUGGGGUGGUCAGAUGAUACUGUAUGACUCGAGUAUAGGAGAGGGUAGUGGAAUUUCCGGUGUAGCGGUGAAAUGCGUAGAGAUCGGAAGGAACACCGGUGGCGAAGGCGAGUCUCUGGACAUUUCCUGACGCUGAGGCACGAAAGCCAGGGGAGCAAACGGG
rnacentral:rRNA from 1 species